rnacentral:rRNA from 1 species
GAUCCUGGCUCAGGACGAACGCUGGCGGCGUGCCUAACACAUGCAAGUCGAACGGACGAGGCCCCUUCGGGGACUGAGUUAGUGGCGAACGGGUGAGUAACGCGUGAGGAACCUGCCUUUCAGCGGGGGACAACAGUUGGAAACGACUGCUAAUACCGCAUGAAGCAAUUGAACCGCAUGAUUUGAUUGCCAAAGAUUUAUUGCUGAAAGAUGGCCUCGCGUCUGAUUAGCUAGUUGGUGAGG